GUGUUCUUUGCUUUUGCUUAAAAGCACCAGAUGAAAAACUUGCUCUUUCCUAUAGGGCUCUACCAGUUCUUGCAGAGCCUGCACUUUGGAUGCUGUGUCUGAACAGAGACUGAGCCAGGCUGUAGCACUACCUUCCAUGCAGCUAUGGCUGCCUCGGGAGAGGCCUGGCUUCGCAGCAGUGGUGGAAGAGAAGGCUAGCAAGCUACAGCAGCAAGAAAUGCAGUAAGAGUUAUGAGUUAAUAAUGGUAAUAAAAAGGAGGAAUGAGAAAGAAGGGAAAUAAGAAGACCUAUCAUCUUGCUGGUUUCCAGCCCUCUUUGGUGGUAACUCCUGUGUUUUAAGGUUUUUAACUUAGGAAAAUGAGGAUAAGAGCAUGUGCUGACUUUUUGAAUUCAAUCAAGAUGGAUUCACUUUGUAUGUGAUGGGAAGUGUGUGCUGCAAGGGGAAAAAACAUGCAAAGAGUUGCAGAGAAUACCUCAGCCAUAGUCAAUACUGUGAAUAAAAUGUUGAAUGAAUUACCACCUCCUGAGAGACUGAUCAGUGGAACGUGAGACCCCAACAGCUGAGAUCCUUGGUAAAACGUCCAUAGGGAUCAGCCUGUAGGAAUCUUCAGGAUAACGAUGAUCAGAGUGGCCACAGGGAUUGUUUGGGAGCUACAUGUUGAUACAUGGAUAUGCCCUCCCAAAAGGCCAAGAGAAGACAAGGAAAGGGCAGGAGUGAGAAUGUUGUUAAAAGGAGAAACAAAAUGAGGUUUUAAAGUCGAGCCUAUUUAAGCUAUUUGUAACAAGCUUUGCAAGUAUGGUUUCCAUGUCAGAACAAGAAAAUACAGCUGAUGUUUAUGGUUAAAUUUCUUCAGCCUGCAGUCAUCAUGAAAAGAUCCAAUAAGAAAGAAGAAUCUAAGGGUUCCUGUGAGUUAGGUUUCUGGACUGAGAGAUGAGUAGUGUGACAAGGAAGCCAGUAAAAAUCAUAGGAAUGCUGAGGAACUCACCUCCUCAUCUGCCACCUCAGAGUCUGCAUGGGUUGCUCUCAACCAAAAUCUGUGGAUUUACAAUUGUCAGAAAGGAAACCCAGCUUCUACAGUAAUCAACAAGAUAUAUGUGCCUAAUCAGCUUCAACACUGGAAACCCUUACAACAAAUCUACACAAGACCCUGAAGUGUUUUUCAGUAUUAUCCCUCAGCUUUUACCUUACCCUGGUGAAGACCUUCCAUAUGACAUCAGACUUUUUAUCCAUCUCAGCUAGAUGAGCUCUUUGAAGAAGAGCUUCUCUUGCUUGGGGUAUUUACACAGUGUCCUGCAUCCACCCUAGCCAGUGAACUCUGUCAUAUCUAUGGUCAUAUCCAUGACCAAUUCUCUGUUUAGCAGCCAUUCAGCACUGGUAAAGUUGAGUACAGCUGUGAUCGUCCACAUACAGAAAAACUCUAAAUGGCAUAGCUGCACAGGAGGACUAGCAUGGUCCAGAAUGAAGCAAGAAGUCAGCUUGCUCAGGCUAGCAAAGCACUGAGGGCUGAACUCUGAGUGCUGAGAAAAAAAAAUGUGAAAGCUGUAGGUUAAUCUAACCUGAUAUGGAGAAUUUUAUUUUCUGACUAGCUCUUUCAUUAACAUUCACCUGCAUGUUUUAGAAUAAGGUUGAUUAAUUUAAAAAAAAAAUCU
ensembl:lncRNA